CCCCGGGAGGGGAGUGAAAGAGUACCUGAAACCGUGUGCUUACAAGUAGUCAGAGCCCGUUAAUGGGUGAUGGCGUGCCUUUUGUAGAAUGAACCGGCGAGUUACGUUAACAUGCGAGGUUAAGAUGAAGAGUCGGAGCCGUAGCGAAAGCGAGUCUGAAUAGGGCGCAUGUAGUAUGUUGACGUAGACCCGAAACCAAGUGAUCUACCCAUGUCCAGGUUGAAGGUGCGGUAAAACGCACUGGAGGACCGAACCAGGGCACGUUGAAAAGUGCUUGGAUGAGGUGUGGGUAGCGGAGAAAUUCCAAUCGAACACGGCGAUAGCUGGUUCUCCCCGAAAUAGCUUUAGGGCUAGCGUUGAACGAAUCUACCCGGAGGUAGAGCACUGAAAUCAUGCGGGCGGCAUCUCGCCGUACCAAAUGAUAUCAAACUCCGAAUGCCGGGCAAGAAUAUUCAGCAGUCAGACUGUGGGUGAUAAGGUCCAUGGUCAAAAGGGAAACAGCCCAGAUCAUCAGAUAAGGUCCCAAAAUUUACGCUAAGUGGAAAAGGAUGUGGAGACGCGCAAACAGCUAGGAGGUUGGCUCAGAAGCAGCCAUCCUUCAA
rnacentral:rRNA from 1 species